rnacentral:rRNA from 1 species
AGCAGUCGCCGCGGGAAUACGUAGGUGGCAAGCGUUGUCCGGAAUUAUUGGGCGUAAAGGGCUUGCAGGCGGUUUCUUAAGUCUGAUGUGAAAGCCCCCGGCUCAACCGGGGAGGGUCAUUGGAAACUGGGAAACUUGAGUGCAGAAGAGGAGAGUGGAAUUCCACGUGUAGCGGUGAAAUGCGUAGAGAUGUGGAGGAACACCAGUGGCGAAGGCGACUCUCUGGUCUGUAACUGACGCUGAGGAGCGAAAGCGUGGGGAGCGAACAGGAUUAGAUACCCCUGUAGUCCCUGUCUCUUAUAC